CCAUAAAUGAAAAAUAGAGGAAUUUUCAAGAAAGAUGGAUUCAGCAUGUGUUGAAAGGAAUGGGACCAUUUCUGCUGACAUCUUCAACAGGCUUUGGAUAAUUGUAGACAUCUGCCGCAAACCCUCUUAAAGAUAUGGAGUAUAUGGGAAGAAGAGUGAUGGUGUAACAAAGUACCUCUUUUCAUCCUGAAUUUUGUGCACAGAAGAAAGCUUCUGCUUAUUUCUUCUCACUGCAAAAGACUGAUGCUCUAGCCUCAAAGAUAAGCAGGGGAAGGAGAGAAUUAAUGAAGAAACCAGAGAAAGACAGACAACAGUGUGAGCCAAAAAGAAUGGCAAUAAUAGAGAGAGAAGAUGUGGAAACAAUAGCUAUGGCUCUCUCAGAGUAGUUAGUUCUGCAUGCUGCUAUGGAGUAAAGGGUGAACAUUAAGUUAAAUCCCAAGUUGUGUAUGUAUGUACUUCACUGCACAGCACCAGGAUGGAUGAACACAGCAAGCC